UACAGAGAGAUCCUUGAUGAAAACCUGCUCCAGAGCGCUCAGGACCUCAGAUUGGGAUGAGAAGGUUGGCAGUAGUAUAGAACACAUUGUAUUGCUAAAAUGAUAUCUGCAGUGGCCGUACGGCAUUUACUGUGAUACAGCCUCUGCAGAAGUCAGGGCAUGUACACUUGCGCUUCGUUGAGCAGAGCAGGACUUCCCGCCCCCACCUACCGUCAACCAAUCAUGUCAAUGCGGAGCUAUGCGGAGCCCUCCACAUUGUUACAAAAUCUGUCCUGUGCAUGGCUUUGCGGUAUGGAACUCCAUUUGACCUCUGCAUGCCUACUGCGGCUCAGCAAUACUACUCUUCAACCAUGUUUUUUCAGAUCAAGCAUAAAUUGGCGUUAAGUUGCCCCUCACUAUAGCUGCACUUCUCCACAUGGCCAGACUUUUAGGGCCGGUGUCAGACAGGGCUUAGAUUAAGCCAGGAGUAGGCCUUAAUGUGUACUAGUUAAACUAGGACAUUUAAGUAGCUUUCAUGAACGUGGUUUAAAUUUGGCUUAGUUAGUCAGAGACUAUGGAGUCCUGGAGUAAGGUAAGUAAGCCUAAAUGAGAACACCUGGGUUAAGCCUGAUUAGGUUAAGUAUGAGCACAUGCUGUUGGUCUAAUGGUGCUCAUAAAACCCCGGGAAUGGAAUAGAAAACACCAUCACUGGUGUGAAUCUUGAGACAAAACAAUGGCAGAGGCAAAAAUAAUUUGUUCAAAAAAACUUGAGUAUGAAAAAAUGCAACAAAAACAAAAUUUGUCAAACCAUCCAGUUAUUGAAAGUAAAAACCAUUCUACUGCUACUGAGCAAAAGAAAAAGUGGUUGGGCUGCAAUUUGGAGUGAUUUAAAUGAAAAUGUAACCACGAGUACAACAACUUCAGACUGAAAGAACCUUUAAAUUGGCUUUAAAAAGAGAGAAUGCAGAUUUCAGAAGAGAGCGAUUUACUACUGCUGGUGGAACACCAAAAAAAGACGAGACUGAUGAAUUGAGUGACUUGCUGUCUGGAAUAAUAGAGCACCAGCAACCUCUGGAUGGUAUACCAGAUGAUGACCAUUUGGACAGUUCAGAAGAAGCACUGAGCACAAAUGAGGAAAGGAAUGUGAACAGGUUGGAAGAGCCAGUGCAGAGUGAGUGUGUACCCUCUACAUCUGCUAUAGCAUCCCUGAGAGAAGAUUCUGCCACCACCUUUCAGCAGAGAACAAAAAAGAUGACCGUGCAUGAAAAGUUAGCCAGAGAAUUUCACAAGCAUAAAAUGAAAUCUGAAGAACAUGAAAUUAAAAUGAGAGUUCUACAGGUUGACCUGGAUAUGAAGUUGGAAGAGAGCGGUAUGAUGCAAACUAAAUACAGUAAUGAGACAAUUGUGAUUACCAGCCAUGGUGAACAAUAUAUGUAAAAAAUGUUUUGUCAUUUGGAUAUUCAUGAGUGAGUAUUUUAAUCACCACAAACUACAUUUUAAACCAGCCUUGGUUUAGUCACUCAUUUCAUUUUGCUGCACACUAUUUGAAUUUUGUACAGAACAUGCAAAAAUAAGCCAUAAUGAAUAAUUCCAUAUUUAGAUGCGUCUCAUCUAGUUGAGGUGCUGCAAUUUGAAAGCAACUCUGUGUGCCAGUCCCCAUUGGUCCUUGCCUGCCUCAUCCAUGGGCACAUCUGCUUGAUCCUGAUCUUCCAUUGGAGGACAGCAAUGCUGCUUCAGGUAGUUGUGCAGCACAGCCGUAGCAAUGAUCACUUUGCAGCAUCUUCUUGUCUUGAAAGCAAGUGUAUUGUGUAAACUGGAAUCGAUUUUUCCAUACUCCAAACAUACGCUUGACCAUCCCUCUUGUGCGCAUAUGAGCUCAGUUGUAUCUUUGCGGCUCAGCUGUUGUGGGAUUUAUGUAUGGAGUGAAUAAAAAGUUACUCUGACCAUAUCCACUGUCACCAAGUAGUAGUCCACUAUGUUGUCCUCUCUGAAACUAAGCACACAAUGAAGAGUUGAGGAAAAAUCCUUGAAUUGCGAGUUGCACCUUUUGUGAGGGGAAAAAUUAUGUAUUCACCUUAUUUGUUGGAUAUGGAACAAUUAUUUACUUAACAAACAAUAAGAUAUUUCUCUCCUGCUAAUGCUGAGUUUUAUGGUGUCCACUCUGGCUUCCUGCAGCUAGUCUGGGUGUUGUGGACAUGGGUUUUACUAGAGAUAGCUGGAACUGACAAUUGAUUGACCUGGUGAUUUAAAACCUACAGCUGGCAUUCCAGUGACAGGAUGUGGGGUGGUUGUAACUGGGAUAGAGAGGAGUAGAACAAAGGCCUCUGGUUCUUAGACAUCUGGGAUAUUAGGCCAGGUUCGGGAGUUAAGAUAACGUCGGGCAAAUAAAGACAGGAUGAGCCCAAAGUGGCUCAUGGUGCCCCCCAAUCUAUAUGGGAAGGGUGAAGCAAGCCAUGGUUGAAGCAUUUUUAGGUUUGGUAUAUAUGUAACGGAUGUGAGAUGGCUAGCUAGUUAGCGGU